rnacentral:lncRNA from 1 species
UGCGGCUUCAUUGUUGAUGGCUUGAUGAUAAUUCUAACGAAAGCGAAGGGCAGUGACUACUGCUCUUGUUAUUUCUGACUGUCGUGUCGAAUGCAUACUCUCAUAUUACCUCCAGUGUCAUUGUUAUAAAUAUACACAUACCGUCAUUGUACCAAGAGUCUGAAGGGGGUUCAGAUGACUUUAAUGAUGAAGCUACAUCAAUGCUUUUGGACAGUGAAGACGGCAAUAUAUUUGAUAUUUAAAUCAAUACAAUUUAACAUUGAUUUUCCUAUACAAAAGCAAUAACAAUCCCAAAUCACUGAUGCUUAAAGUGCAGGGGCAACAUGUCCCAGGGAAGGAUAGAAGAGAAUAAUAAAAAUGCAUCUUCUUACUAUUGCACAUUAUCCUGUCAUUAUCAUUAUUCUUUGUUCACAAUGAUUGGCACGUGUACCAUGAUGAACAGUGCGGAGUACUUAGGGUUUUAGUUGACAGUGCUUUAGUUUGAAAGGCUCAACACCACUCAGUCUUUCAGAACCAGGGGUGCUUUGACAGUAGCAGCAACCUCAGCCCCCAUGAGCUCCUCUACAAUGGCCAGGGCAAACUCAAAGCUGGUUCCUGGCCCGCGGCUGGUAAUCAGAUGGCCAUCCUUCUGGACUCGAGCCUCAGAAUACUUGUAGUGGCCUAGGGAGUGGAGAGGAACAGUGGUGAAGAGAGAGAAACACCAUUGUAUAAUACUCUGCAAAUGGGAAUGAUUUAGUACCACUUGUUCAAAUCAAGUUAUUCAUUGGUUUAACUUUCUUGCAUUUACUACGUAAUUUAACUUGUGUAUAUGCAGUCUUUCUUUGAAGUAUUUAUGUUGGUGUUUACUGAUUGAAUCUAAUCAAAUGCUGGUGCAUAAUGACCUCGUAUUGAUGACUAUCAUAAAGUAAGAAACUUGUUACAGCACCCUCUGCUGGACACAAAGGACCACAAUCGUUUGUCACCACUGUUCAGUAGUACUUGGGAUCUGCUCAUUGUGCUGCAUUUCCUGCCACACAGCCUGCUGAGUCAUCAUACAGGAAGAUUUCCUACAUGUGCAUGCAUUUUGUGUAACAUCCAACUAACAAACAAGCACCACAGUGGCUAUGAAGUAGCUAUACAAUGCAGAGAUUAAUCAACCUGAACUAGGGUUGCACAUUUUGGGGAAUAUUCAGAGGUAGAAACAUUGUGGGAAUAUAUGCAAUUUAAAAUUAAUACCAUUUAAAUGUAGAUGUUUUUUUGCAUUGGAUAUAUUUACCAUAUCAUAUGGAGACAUAAGGUAAAAGGUUUGUUUUUAAGUAAACUAUUGCAAAUUAUUAAAACUUUCCAAUAGAAAUUAAAAUAAAAACAAUUUGUUACAAUUUUAACUUUAAUUAAAUGAGUUGACUCUUCACAUGGGAUGAUUUCAUAGAACAAAAGGGAACAUUGAAUAAUCCCCAAUGAUCUAUCGCAUCUCCCAAAAACGUUUUCAACAUGCAUCUGUAAAAUGAUAGUCCAGAAACUAAAGCUUUGGUUGUCUUCCUCUCAGGCUUCCAUGUCUUCUCCCUGGACCUCAAUGUCCACCUCUUGAACAUCAGACUCUGAGGCCUCAUCUUCACUGUCACUUUCCAACCUUGUUGAGGAUGGCUCGUUGUCAGGCUCAAAAAGCCUCAAAUUUGUCCGGAUGGCCACCAAUUUUCCAACCCUUGUAUUGGUCAGCCUGUUGCGUGCUUUGGUGUGUGUGUUUACAAACAAGGACAAGUUGUGCUCUGAGGUGGCUGAUGUUGGUGGGAUUUGGAGGAUGAUGGAGGCAACAGGGGAAAGAGCCUCAGAUCCACAAAGUCCCUUCCACCAGGUGGCUGAUGAGAUACGUUGGCACGACUGCCAUAUUGCAUCUCCAUCCCAAAGCCCUUGCUUGGAAGUGGACUUCGCCAGACUGCCAAGAACUUUGCCCUCAUCCAGGCCAAGGUGGCGAGGCACAGCAGUGAUGACAACAUAGGCCUUGUUGAUCUUUGCACCAGACAGGAUGCUCUUGCCAGCAUACUUGGGGUCCAACAUGUACACUGUGGCGUGUAUGGGCUUCAGGCAGAAGUCUUCAUGCUUCUUGAUGCAUUUCAGAACGGCAGUUUCCUCUGCUUGGAGCAACAGUGAAGUGGGCCGGGCAGUACGGAGUCUGAACAUCAGACAGGAUGGCAUUGUCUCCCUCAAUCCAUGCAAUGGCUACUGUUAUAGGUUUCAGGAGUUUCAGGCUUACCACUCUCUCCCAAAAUACAUCUUCCAGGAGGAUCCUCUUGAUGGGGCUGUCCAUAAUCGGCAAACUGUGAUAUGGCCAUUUCUUGGAGAGACUCCUUCCCCUGCAGUAGUCAAACAUGACGACAUCACCACCCCAACGGGUGUUGCUGGGCAGCUUCAAUGUGGUGCUCUUAUUCUUCUCACUUUGCUUGGUGAGGUAGAUUGUUGCUAUAACUUAAUGACCCUUGACAUACCUAAACGUUUCCUUGGCUCUCUUGUAGAGUGUAUCCAUUGUUUUCAGUGCCAUGUCCUUGAGGAGCAGAUUCAAUGCAUGAGCAGCACAGCCAAUGGGUGUGAUGUGAGGGUAGGCCUUCUCCACUUUAGACCAAGCAGCCUUCAUGUUCGCAGCAUUGUCUGUCACCAGUGCAAAUACCUUCUGUGGUCCAUGGUCAUUGAUGACUGCCUUCAGCUCAUCUGCAAUGUAGAGACCGGUGUGUCUGUUGUCCCUUGUGUCUGUGCUCUUGUAGAAUACUGGUUGAGGGGUGGAGAUGAUGUAGUUAAUUAUUCCUUGCCCAUGAACAUUCGACCACCCAUCAGAGAUGAUUGCAAUACAGUCUGCUUUCUCUGUGAUUUGCUUGACCUUCACUUGAACUCUGUUGAACUCUGCAUCCAGUUAAUGAGUAGAAAAAGCAUGUCUGGUUGGAGGGGUGUAUGCUGGGUGAAGAACAUUCAGAAAUCUCUUCCAAUACACAUUGCCUGUGAGCAUCAGAGGUGAACCAGUUGUAUACACAGCUCGAGCAAGACAUUUAUCAGCAUUUCUCACUACGUUCCACCAUUGAGUAAAAAAAACUUCUGAUUCAAGGAGGACCAUGAGCUGUUGCUAUCGAUGAGGUGUCUGAUUCAUCAUUUUCACCUCGAAUAGAAGUAGAGGGACUUUUGUCAGAGGUUGCUUGUUGUGAGCGCUGAGGGAACUUUAUGCACUUGGCCAGAUGAUUCUGCAUCUUUGUUGCAUUCUUCACAUAUGAUUUGGCACAGUAUUUGCAAAAUGUACACAGAUUUUCCUUCUACAUUGGCUGCAGUGAAAUGUCUCCACACAUCAGAUAGUGCCCGUGGCAUUUUCCUGUAAAGAUCAGGAUUUAAAUUUUUUUUUAAACAAAUACAAUUCCAUGUCCAUAUAAAUAGUUAAGCAGUUAUUUAAACAACUCCUUCGUAAGAAAAAUGUUUUAAAAUGAAACAGGUGAAUUGCAAGCUAUGACCCACAUGGUAGCAGAAACUAACUAGCAGGAAUUGUUAACAAGUUAGAAAGGAUUUAAAACACUUCGCUGUAGUUUACUAUUUACUAGUUAACAAAAAAAUAAUGUAUGUCAUAAAAUAUUUUCACCCCACCCAGUAUUGUAAUCAAAACUUACCAAAAAGUAUGUAGUCCUUGGCUCAGACAGUGUAGUUGUGUGCACUGCACGUGUGACCGAAGAGUGCACUGCACGUGUGACCGAAGAGUGCACUGCACAUGCAGAGGAUUGCAAUUCCAUCGAAUUGGGGAUAGUUUAACCAAAAUAUGCCACAAGACCUAGAAUUGCCUUUUUGGUGGGAGGUUCACUGUUAUAAGCUAACUUUUUUUAAUGAAUUGAAGCAAAAUUCCCCAAAUUCCUAGGCUUAACUUCCCAUGGAAAAUUUCCAGAAAUUUCCCAGAAAGUUUCUGACCCUGUGCAACCCUAACCUAAACCUUAGCCCUGUGGCAGCCAGGCUGUUUGUGUAGCUUUACCACCAGUCAUCAUCUUGUCCUUGGCACCAGGGUGGGUGGUGACUGUGCUGCCGUAGGCAAUACCGUCUCGACGCAUUACGUCCACAGGUAUAACUGUUUCCAUCUCUUCUGCACCUUUAGAGAGGAUUACUAAUGCCUUUUUCCCUGCCAUUCUUGGGAGAGUGGGUGUGUGACUGUCAGCAACAGGAAAGCAACUGUUUGUGAGAGGACUUUUAUCUUGACAGGAACACACAUAGAUACACGUAACCAUGGUUGACAGAGGAAGAACAAUGAUUCCAAGCACCACCCUUCUUUUGAAGCUUCCAGUCUGUUAUUCGAACUCAAAUCAGCAUGACAGAGUGAUCUCCAGCCUUGUCCUCAUCAACACUCACACCUGUGUUUAGGAGAGAAUCAC